AUAGUAUAGUAAAUAAACAUAGUGGUAUGUCUAAUCGUCUUUAAGCCUUUCGUACUUCUGCACUGCUACUGAUGAUGCAUCCUCACCAUGAGAAGGUAUAGGAAACUUUGACAGGAAUGGGAUGACCAAUAACUCCCCAAUUGAGCUCAUUUCAGAUUUCCCUUUAUUUUUAUCACCUUUCUUACGCUUUGAUGCUGCAGAUGCAACUGGUG